rnacentral:rRNA from 1 species
AGAGCGAACGCUGGCGGCAUGCUUAACACAUGCAAGUCGCACGGGCACUUCGGUGUCAGUGGCGGACGGGUGAGUAACGCGUAGGUAUCUAUCCUUGGGUGGGGGACAACUGUGGGAAACUACAGCUAAUACCGCAUGAUAACUGAGGUUUAAAGGCGCAAGUCGCCUGAGGAGGAGCCUGCGUACGAUUAGCUAGUUGGUGGGGUAAAGGCCUACCAAGGCGACGAUCGUUAGCUGGUCUGAGAGGAUGAUCAGCCACAUUGGGACUGAGACACGGCCCAAACUCCUACGGGAGGCAGCAGUGGGGAAUAUUGGACAAUGGGCGCAAGCCUGAUCCAGCAAUGCCGCGUGUGUGAAGAAGGUCUUCGGAUUGUAAAGCACUUUCGACGGGGACGAUGAUGACGGUACCGUAGAAGAAGCCCGGCUAACUUCGCGCCAGCAGCCGC